AGUGGCGGACGGGUGAGUAACGCGUGAGAAUCUGCCUUGGGGUCGGGGACAACCACUGGAAACGGUGGCUAAUACCGGAUAAGCCGAUUGGUGAAAGAUUUAUUGCCCGAAGAGGAGCUCGCGUCUGAUUAGCUAGUUGGUGAGGUAAGAGCUCACCAAGGCAGCGAUCAGUAGCUGGUCUGAGAGGACGAUCAGCCACACUGGGACUGAGACACGGCCCAGACUCCUACGGAGGCAGCAGUGGGGAAUUUUCCGCAAUGGGCGAAAGCCUGACGGAGCAAGACCGCGUGAGGGAGGAAGGCUCUUGGGUUGUAAACCUCUUUUCUCAGGGAAGAAGCUCUGACGGUACCUGAGGAAUCAGCCUCGGCUAACUCCGUGCCAGCAGCCGCGGUAAUACGGAGGAGGCAAGCGUUAUCCGGAAUUAUUGGGCGUAAAGCGUCCGCAGGUGGCGAUUCAAGUCUGCUGUCAAAGCACGGGGCUUAACUCCGUAAAGGCAGUGGAAACUGAAUAGCUAGAGUGCCGUAGGGGUAGAGGGAAUUCCCGGUGUAGCGGUGAAAUGCGUAGAGAUCGGGAAGAACAUCGGUGGCGAAAGCGCUCUACUGGACGGCAACUGACACUCAGGGACGAAAGCUAGGGGAGCGAAUGGGAUUAGAUACCCC
rnacentral:rRNA from 1 species